UUUUAGCUUCUCCUGGGCAGCUGCCAGUCCUGGUGGGAAAGAUCUCUUUUCUUUUUCUUUUUUUUAGGAGAAUUGCGAGCCUCUUGUCUUCUAGAAAGCGCAAAAGACCCGAUCAAUGAUGGUCGCAUGUUGCUUUCUUCAUUGGGCUUUACUAGAUUUUCUUCCGUUCCUCUCUCUCUCCUCUCUCUCUCUCUUCUGGGGGAUAUGGCCGGAGCAAGAAUAGGAAAAUGAGACUUGUUGUUGGGAGUUCGCUAAUUUUAUUACCCUUUUUCUUUUCCAUGCUUUCCGGGCUUUGAGGGAAAAGUUUAGAUGGAUUCGUUUCACUUCAUGUUAGUCGUAGGUUUUUUUCCUUUGGUAGUGCCAAAUUUGGUGAGAGUGAGACGAGAUUGUCGUUAACAAUUCCCACAUGCUAAUGUGAUGUGACGAAAGUGUGCAUCUUGCAAGGGAAGUUACUCCAGUUACAAAUAUGGAUGUGUGGACAUUCUGGUUUAACGGUUUGAAUUAAUUUUCUGGUACUCUCUGUCUCUCCAAUUUUACGUGUUUCUGGUCCUGACUCUGUUUCUUCCUCUGCGUUUUAGAUUCUGCGACUCGAAUUCUAGGCCUUGAGUUCGGGAUUAAUUAUGGCCAAAUAGCGAACGACCUGCCCUCGCCUUCUCGUGUCGCCACCCUCCUCGGAUCCCUCAACGUCAGUAGGGUAAAGUUGUAUGAUGCAGAUCCCAAUGUCCUCCAAGCAUUUUCCAAUUCCAAUAUCGACUUCAUCAUUGGUAUAGGCAAUGACAAUCUCCAGAACAUGACCAUUCUUGCCAACGCCCAAGAUUGGAUCCAACAGCACGUCCAACCUUACAUUGGCCAAACCCAGAUCAGCUGCAUCGUGGUUGGUAACGAAGUGUUAAACAGCAGCACUAACCAAUGGAUGCCUUAUCUCGUCCCGGCGAUGAAAACCGUAUAUUCGGCCCUUUCCAACCUUGGACUGAAUAAGCAAGUCGCGGUCACAACAGCGCAUUCGCUCAAUAUUUUAGCUACUUCAUACCCGCCCUCUGCAGGUGCUUUCUGGCCAAAUCUUGCUCAGUACCUCCAACCCCUGUUGAAUUUCCAGGCGCAGAUAAAUACUCCAUUUCUCAUAAACGCGUAUCCUUACUUUGCGUAUAAGGGUAGUCCGAGCGAGGUGUCGCUGAAUUAUGUGCUUUUCCAGCCUAAUGAAGGGCUGACCGAUCCCGUCACCAACUUGCACUAUGAUAAUAUGUUGUACGCUCAAAUUGAUGCGGUUUAUUCAGCUAUUAAAGCGAUGGGACAUACUGAUAUCACCGUCAGGAUUUCUGAGACAGGUUGGCCGUCCAAGGGUGAUGACGAUGAGGCAGGGGCUACACUGGAGAAUGCACAUAUAUACAAUGAAAAUUUGUUGCAGAGGAUAGAGCAGAAACAAGGUACCCCUGCUAAGCCAUCGGUGCCUAUUGACAUAUACGUGUUUGCGCUAUUUAACGAAAACUUGAAGCCUGGUCCGACAUCUGAGAGGAACUAUGGACUCUACUAUCCAGAUGGUACUCCAGUUUAUAGCCUUGGAUUGCAAGGUUAUCUUCCAGAACUAUAUUCAGCGACUGGGACAAGAGUAAGACAAAUUCGUUUUCUUGCUUAAACUGUUGAGCUAGAUGAGUAACUGAUGAUGUUUUCUUUGGCUCUUUAUGUUUUUGCAGUUAUUGCCUUUCUCAAUGAAUAUUUUAGUAUCCAUCAUGACAUUCUUAAUGAGUAUUUGAGAGCAUGCUAAUCUGUUUACCGAGGGAAGGCUUCAACAAAACAAUCUCGAAGCAACUUUUUAGGUGAGCAUUUCAUCAUUUAUAUUUGUGCUGAUCAUCUUCUCUGCCCAAUAUUGCCGACUUGUUACUUUUUCGUGAUUCCCCCCCAACCCCCCAAAAAAAAAUCUCUCUAUCGAAUGACCAAAUGUUUGUCUAGUAAAAUGGGAGUUCACACCUGCCUUAGCAUCUUGACAAGUUCAAGGAACAUGCACUAAGAAGGAAGAAGAAGGCACUUCCCGUUGAUUUUCUUUGUAUUAGAUAUAAUUCUGCAUCAAGGUUCACAUAGCUGGUAUACUUUAUCGUCACUUGGAUUGUGAAGCCAGGCUAAUCAAGACCCGCUAUCGANNNNNNNNNNNNNNNNNNNNNNNNNNNNNNNNNNNNNNNNNNNNNNNNNNNNNNNNNNNNNNNNNNNNNNNNNNNNNNNNNNNNNNNNNNNNNNNNNNNNCCUCUCGGGGCUCUGAAGAAUGCAGUCUUUGUUGAAUUCAAAAGGUCAAAACAGAAGAAAACCAGAGCCUUUCCUAUAAAGGUCAUUUUCCAAUGUGAUCCAACCUUGUUUGUCAUCAAUGAGCGUAACAGAACUUGAGACUCAGAGAUGACAUUUCUGCCGCCCUUGAGUCAAAAUUCACAAAGUGCUGAUUGCCGGCUUUCUCCAUGAGGGUGAUGUGGCUCUACUUUUGUAGAUUCCAGCAAUGGUCUGAAAGAGAAAGGGAUAAGAUUUGACAGAUAGACAAGUCCCUCAAUAUUCACCAUAGAUAUAAUGAUGACAUGAUACCUACCCGUAUCCAGGAUCGUUAGUAUAUUGCUAGAGGAAUCGUGUAUAUAUGAUCCAUGUUGAGCUUAUAUUUAUGUCUUUGUCGUGGCACCGGUAAAGUGCAAGACCAAGAGUCUCAGAAUCAAUCAAAGUUAGGAAGAAGCUUUGACUCGAGGCGACAGCCACUACUUGAUACUGAUUUAAAUGCAGAAAGUUUAGUUCUUUUUCAUCAUUAGCAAUGUAAUGUUCUGUUGCUUGUGUUAUGGCUAAAUCAUUAAAACGUUUUCUCCCCUUCUUUUGCAAGAGAUUCCAGAGAGCUUACAUAAUCACAUAGCGCGAAUGGAUGAGAUUAUUCAGCUACACUAGAUGGAGUUUUGACUUGAAGAGUGUACUAGUAUGUCUGUCUUUGUCUGUAAUAGUGAAAAAACACAAAUCGCUAAGUAAAGUUUAGGAUCCUAGGAAAUUAACACACUGAUUCACGACAUAGCUUCUGUAAUAAAAGCAUUGGGUAUAGCGGGUUGAUACGAUAUUGUACGAACACGUUCUGGGAGGGACUCUCCUGCUGUGGAAGAAGCUCGAGCUCUUUCACGGUCCUACUUUUUACGGUGGGUGUAUAAAUAUAUGGACUUUACAUUAUUUUUACUCGAUUUAAUAAGAUGGACGAUGAGUAGUACCAGAUAGAUUGUGGAUUUCUCAUGGUUCGCCUUUUCAUUCGUCGUUACAUAUGUAUUUUCGCCCGGGUUUCCCUUCAGGUGGGUAUAGUCGCGAUGUGCCUUUAGAUAUGUCCCUUUUUCUCCCAUCCUUCAAGCGCUAGCAACUAUGCCUGUUCAAGCACCAUCUGGUUAUCGUUCUACAAUAUCAUCAUCGGGGACGAUCCGUAUGAGAACCCAAAUGCUUCUUGUGACGCUCUUUGAGUCUGCCCGUCUCAGGAGAUGCCUAAUUAAAUGGUUCUGUUGUAAAGGAAGAUCUUGUAUUGCUCGGGGCAUGAGUACAUCACCAGUUUAGACUGAAUUGCCCUUAACUAGCCCAACUGGUUCUAUCGAGCAACGAUCCGAUUCUUUUGUUUCUCAACGCCAGUCCAUCUCGGGUAAGAUUCAGUUUAGAAGAAGUCGUAGGCUGAUUCCUUUCUAAGUGGGACAAUUCAAUCCUAAUUCUUUUAUUGUGCUCAUUUAGUCGUAAACUUUUGACAACUUACUAAUUUAGUCUUAAAACUUUUUAAUUGGGUCAGUUUAGUCUUAAAUCUUUUAAGGGUUUGCCAAUUUGGUCCUAAACAUUUUGAGAUUUACUAAUUGAAGUCAUUCCGGUGAAUAUUGGUCUGAAAUUGCUAAUAUCAUAAUCUAAUCAAUAUUGUCAUAUGUGACAAAACCAACGCAAACAUGGACAAUUUUUACUUUAAAAAAAAAUUGACAAAUCAUCAUAUGGUUUAGGACUAAAGUAGUAAGCUAUCAAAAUAUUUGGUACUAAAUUAACUAAAUUGAAAGAUUUAGAAUUGAAUUGAACGCCAUAAAAUAAGUUUAAGAAAUUUUGAACAAUUUUUUCCUUCUCAUGCACUACCUAAUGAGUUAUACGUUCUCCACAAUGUAAAGGGUAGAAAGCUGUUGAUUAUAAAUGCAAUGACAAUACUACAAUGGGGUAAUGUUAUGGAGGACAAAUUUGAUUGAAUUUACUGAGAUUCCUCCGAGAAAUCCACUUCAUUGUCCAUUGUCCAAUCUUCCAUCACAAUCUCAACGAGAAGAAUGGCGAAAACCACAAUACCCUCGAUUGAUUUGAGUGGAGAACUAGAAAGCCAAAAUCUCGGUAAACCAGAGAGGAUUGCAGAUGGCUAUGCGGAAAUCGAUCGAUAAAAACACCACCUCUCAGAGUACAGCAAGCAUAAAAGCAUACAAAUGUUCCUACUUAUAAUAGCUGACAAGAGGACUCCCAAGAAUCUACAGUUAUAGAGCGACGAGCCGCCAUCGCACCUUAGUGUCCAGUAUUUACACGCCAAACAAAGUAUAAUACUUAGCCGUCAAUCAUAUGAUACAAGAAAAGGAAGGAUCAUACAAUGAACUCAUCAUAUCCGAGUGUCGCUGAUCCCGUGUAUUGCAGAUCUUUCUCUUUGAAUUUCUCUGUCAGGCCCUGAAAUGUGAUGUUAAGUAACGAGAAGGUCACUCAAUUAGCCAUUGAAGCAUCUGUGUAGACGAACCCUGACUAUAUCAUACUAUACUCAUGACAGUUCAUAUAGUUGAAUUGACAUUGUACCUUCACAAUCAUUCCACAUCUGCGCAUCCAACACAACGUUAAUGAGUUCUGCAUUAAAAUCUGAUUCUUCUCAGCUCAAGUGGGCUGGAGGCUAAAAGGAAAGAAGGUGCAUACUCGACAAAAGCAUCAAAAUUAAGUUCGCAUGUCCUGCCGCUGCUGCCGUCAUAUCUAGACAUCAGAACUUGAAGAACAGAUGGCGGAAUCACGUAGCUUAGACUGUACAGAGCAUCCCUCAGUUCUGUCGAGUCGAUUUUUCCGCUUCUGUCUCUAUCGAAUCUCUCGAAUAAGGGCUGUCCGAGGGAAACUGGAGGUUGGAACUAAUGUCGGUGGAUCCCCUGUUGUACACGACCAGAAAAAUCCCAAGAAAGCCCGUCCAAAUGAGAGAGAGAUUAGAACAAACUCGCCCAGGAAGCUAACUACAUUAUAAAUUGCAGAAAAUAUCUCACCUUUCCGGCGAGGCUCUUCCAAGAAAUCACUCCUCAGUAGAGAGAGAGAGAGAGAGAAGACUAUCUUUUGAUCUCUUUCUUUUUCAUUGGUGACAUAACUAUAAAUGGGGAAGAGAAUCGUUUGGUGGAAGUGACAGCAAAUUUACGAAACCUCUCUCUCUCUCUGGUUGCUGGCAAGUGUUUGAAGGUAAAUACCAUAAACUGGUCUAUGAAUUUUGUACAGGUUUGUAAUGUCAUUUUUGAAUUUUUAAUGUAAUAUGGUUUCCAAAUUUUAAGUACAUAUUCAAUUUAGUCAUAAAAUUGUUAGGAGUGUGAAUGCAAAUUGGUUCAAUCCGGAAACAAAACCGGAACUCUUGAAAAAUAGGUCUAGGAAUAUGUUCUUAUUAAACUUAGUCCAGGAAUAGCUUUUGAGUAAACACUCACCGAGAAAUUGGAUUGGACCACCUUAUUUUGAAAUUGGUUUUAUGAGUUAAAAAGUCAAAAUCCUAAUUUAUUUUUCCCCUAAAUUUUGACCUUAGUACUCCUUUGUUCUUUGUUCUUCCUCGAAACUCUUUGCUAGUCUUUUGUCUUCUGCUAAAUUUUUAUAGAUUAAUAGGGGAUGAAAUUCUAUAAUUUAUGUUUUAUGUUAUGUGUUUAAACUUUUAUCCUUUAUAAUAGUAUAGGUCUAGGAAUCUUAUGGAUUGCUGUUUUUGGUGUAUUCUGUUGUCCACCUUUUCCUUUGAAUCAUUUUGGUACUCGUAGUCUCAUAUAAUUUUGCUAUAAAAAAUUACCAAAAAAAAGGUACAAAAAGAUAAAACGGGUUUUUUUAGUAUAUUUUGAAGUCAUACCAGAAAAAAAGAAUAUGUUCAAGAAUUAGUUAUAAUAGGGUAGGUUUCAGGUUUUAACUCUGAAUUUUACUACUUUGAAAGCCAUCACUCCUAAAAAUUAUAUAAAUAUAACUAGAAGAAUAAAUGGGCUAAAAAAUGUUGAAAAUUAGUUGCAUUUCCAUCGUCGGGAGGAUUCUAUUUAGGGACAAGAUCGGAUAGGCCAAAAAGGUAGGGACGAAUGCCGAGAUAUUUAUCGCCUGUAAUAAUCUGGCAGAACCCACAUGGACCGGCCGACGAAAACUGGAGGUUGGAACUACGUCGGUGGAACUACGUCGGUGUAUGGCAUGCUGAACCCGACCAGAAAAUCCCAAGAAAGCUCCGUCCAAAUGUGAAACCGGAGAGAGAGAAAAAGAUCAGGACAAACCCCCCGCCAAGAAGCUAAACUAUAUUAUAAGUUGCAGAAAAGCGGCGAGGCUCUUCCAAGAAAUCACGCCGCACGCCUCCACAAUAGAGAGAGAGAAGACCAUCUUUUAAUCUCUUUAGUAGGGAAAAGAUCAUCAAAAAUCAAAAAUUUUGUUCAAAGUGACAAAUUUAUUCAAAAUCUUUUUUUUUUAUAACCCAAGGAAUCUGUAAACUGACAGCCAGUGAGCAAAUUUUGGGGGAACGACUGCAAGACUCAUCACCACAUGAUUCGAACUUCUCCCCUUCGUGACGGGAAGAUAGCCCAAGUCAGCUGCGCCGUUGAGGGCGAUGGCUUCAAAACUUUUUUUGUGACAAAAAAAAAUCCAAACUUUACAAAUUAUGACAUAUUUACUUCAUCAAGGACAUUUUCGUCUUUUUAUUUUUAUAUUUUUUCCUUAGAAUUUUAAAUUUUAAAAGGUAAAUAGUUUAAAAUAAAUGUUUCACACCGAUAGAAAUUCAUAGUUUUUUAUGUCACAGAAAAAAAUUUAGGAUAAAUAUGUUACAAUUGAUAAAAUUCGAAAUUUUUCAUGUCAUUAAAUAAAAUUUGGGAUAAAUUUGUCAUUUCGCUGACUCGCCGCCAUAUCCGGCAAGCUAGCGAGGCUCACCCUCGCCAGCCGCCACCUCUGGUCAUUCGCCGAGGUCUGGCGACCUGCUAGAGGAAGAAGAGGAGAAGAAACAAAGAAAAAUUUUAAAAUUUUAAAAAUAUUAAAAUAUUAUUAAAAGUUAUUUACGUUAGCGCCGAUCAAGCCUUAUCAACCGGUUGGUAUCUAGUUAGCAAUAUCCAGCCAAAAUUGGCUGGAAAUGAUUGAAUCAGCACAAUCUAAAAAAGUUUAGGACUAAAUUAGCACCAAAAAAAGGUUUAUGACUAAAUCGGUACAACGACAAAAGGUUUAGGAUUUUUUUGGCACUUUUCCCUAUUUAAAUGUUCGGUGUUGCCAACUUUGAAUUAUAAUUGUGGUGCACUUAAGUCACUCUAGAAUCUAUUCCCAAAAGUUCGCAGAAUGGAAUAUGGAGGGGAAAAAACAUUUAGUCCAUUGAAAUAGGUUCGUAGUUACAAGUAUCCAUGGCGCCUAUUUAGGAAAUUUCACGGUAUACAAAUAACAACAAUAGAAUAUACAAAUUCUUGAGGAUGUCGUCACGGGAAAAUUCUCCGACUAAUCAUGUAGUUAUUAGUGAAAGAACCCUAUUCUCCUUUCCCUUGACCCAUCCACUUCAACACUUAAGAAAAAAAAGACACAUCGGAUUCAUGUCAUGUGCCAAUUCUAUAUUGGAUUAAAGGAAUCCGUCCCCUCAAUCAUUGUGCCUUUGACUCAAUUAAGGUGUUUACGUAUGUUAAAAUGCACGCAUGAGUUAUUUAAAGAAGAGUCUCACGUUGGAGAAUUGAUACGGUACAAAACAAUUUAUAUAUUAUAAUUGACUAAUAACUUAUUGAUUUGAGUUUUUAAGUGAAUAUAGAUCUAACUGAAUAUAUUAAUAGACUUGAACAUAUGCUUCAUUUUGGCAAUCUUUUCAGGUAAAUAUAUGUCGCGACCUACCCUCGGGGGGAGGGAACAGGUUUAGGGGUAUUGCCCAAAGGACUGGCCUAAGGCCCCUAAUUAGACGUGGGCUCUCCCAAGCCCAUAUCCCGCGUGACGUUGGGAUAUUCUUAAGAAAUUUUGCAUAAAAGGAGUCGCCACUAGCCUAUUGGGGUCAGCUAGAAACCAAGUGAGGCAUGGGAGCGUGCCUCACUUCCUACGCAACCAGAGAAGUUAGGUUUGGGGACUUGAUUACACUAAUUAACCAAUUAGUGCCAUUUCGGUACCUAAUCUUGUUCGUUUUAAUAAAAUGAUUUUUGACAGACAAUUUGGACUAAUUUUAUAUUUAUCCACUAACAUGUGAGGUGAGCAUGCAGGUGCGCAAUCAAUAAAGUAGCAAUUAGCAAUUAAGAAAAGUGAUUAAAUAAAUUGCAUGAAAGAGCAAACAUUCAACACCAAAGAAAAGAUAAAUACUAAUCCUAACUAAACUAAAGAGAGGCCAAAAUCAACAUAUCAAUGUCAUGCAUUCAAAGACAUUUAUUCCCAAGGACAAUUGAGGUCUUAAGGUAAAACCCUAAAGGUUUAACCAAAUUUAAGCAUAGUUCUCAAUUGGAAUACUUCCAUUUUUUAAGAGAGCAUGACCCAAGAGAUUGAUUUGAACCCUUUUAUAGAUUUUUUUUUUUGAUAAAAAAAAAAUCAGAAUUUUUUUAAAGAUUUUUUUUUAUAUAUAAAAAAUGAAUUUUCGAAUUUCCCCCAAAAAAAGACUAGAUUUUACAAUUUUUUGGAUUUUUUUUCUGAAAAAACGAAAUUUUUUUUAUGUUUUCUGAAUUUUUGAAUUUUCGGAUGAGUUUUUGAAUUUUUAUCAUUUUUUUGAAUUUUUAAUUUUUUUAAACUUUAAAAUUUAAAUCUUUUUGAAAUUUUUAUAUAUUUUUAAUAUUUAAUAUUAUUAUAAUCGGGAAAACGGGUCGAACUGGAUAGAUCCGAUCCGGCCAUUGACCCGACCCAAAACCGGAUUCGACUCUAUCGGAUUGAAAGAGAAAAUUAGUAUUUUUUUUUUUCCAGCAAACUAGUAGUAGGGCAAACCCAUCACUUACUUUUUAAGUGCUACACUAGCUUUCGCUCAUAAUUCAAUCAGAGCUCCAAUAGACAUAUAUCAAUUACCAAAUUCGAAAAAAUAUAGUACUCUAAAGUGAUUGAAAUAAGAAACCAGAGUGAUAGCGAAGCUUAACGAUUUCAUCAUGCCUUGGGCCACAGGGUUGAAACUUUAGGAAAAAUUAAGGCGACGAGGGGAAAUUAUGAUGAUCAAAAUCAGUGUCGUUAAUGAGGAAAAAGGGAAGAGCAGGUGUGUCCGACCUGGCUUGAGAGCUCCCCCUCCCUCACCUUUUCCUCGAACGAGAAAAAAAGGUACUUGUUUUGAGCUCUCUCUUGCCUGCCUGUCAUGCACUUUGGCACGAUGUCGCCAGAUUCAUCCACUUCUUAGGGUUUUCUCUCUCUCCUUCCUCGCGAAUCCAAGAACCCGAAAGCCCUUCGAGAUUCCGCACUGUGUUAAGAGCCUUGCCUUCGCUUUUUCGCCAAGAUCAAAAUCGACCCUCGUCGGCUCCGCACUCCCACCUCCCGAUCUUGGGCUCUUUUCUCUUUCUCCGGGGUCCAUUCUCAAGUGGGUGCCUCGUAUUUCCUUCCACUUCGCUCGAAGCUUCUUGCUUUUCUUCUGGGUAGUUGAGAAAAGAUCGCAAGAUUGCUUGUUCCCUUCUUCUUCUUCUUCUUCUUCUUCUUCUUCUUCUUCUUCUUCUUCUUCCUGGGUCUGGUUUGGUCUGGUUUUGGUUGGGAGUUAGGUGGAGGUACGGUGAAGAUAUCGUUCUACACUAAUCCCGACUAGUUUUCAGCUCUUCGAUUCGGCUCCUCGUACACCCGGUUGAGUUGUUUCUGCGUUUUGGGUCGCUCGGAUUUCGGGAGUUGGGUAUUUAAAUAGUGGGAACAGGGUAGUAGAUUUGUCGAUUCAGAUGGCUGCAUCUGGGGAUGGUGCUGCUUGUGUCGAUGGCGUCGAGAAGCUGGUUUCCGCGAGGAAGUCGUUGAUCCUGAGCUUGGAGAAGUCGAAAGCCCUGAGCUCGAAGCUGGAGAAAACGGGCCCGAGAUUGGCCGAGAUCAACCAGAGGUUGCCCUCCUUGGAGGCUGCCGUCCGGCCUAUCCGCGCCAAUAAGGACGCCCUUGACGCUGUGGGUGGGCACAUUAACCGUGCGGUCGGCCCCGCCGCGGCGGUGCUCAAGGUUUUCGAUGCGGUUCAUGGACUCGAGAAGAUGCUGUUGUCAGAUCCGCGCAAUGACUCGUCGGUGUUGAAGCGACUCGAGGAGGCAUUGAGAUUUUUGGGGGAUAAUUGUGGAUUGGCAAUCCAGUGGCUGGAGGAUAUAGUGGAGUAUCUGGAGGAUAAUACUGUGGCAGAUAAAGGGUACAUUUCAAGUCUGAAUAAAAUAUUGCAGAGUCUUAGGGAAUUGCAGAGCGAUGGUGGAAGAGCACAUCUUGAUGGUGGGCUCCUCGAUGCGGCAUUGGAUAUACUGGAAAGUUAGUUCCGUCGGCUCUUGACGGAGCACAGUUCAUCGCUUCCAAUGUCUGCUCCAUCAUCUCUUGGAGAGCAAGCUUGCAUUGCACCGUCUCCAUUGCCAGUAGCGCAAAACCUCGAAUUCAAGGAAGAGGAAGCCGCGGCUUGGUGGUUCCGGCUAGGAGGCACAAGCUCGUGUCGGGGUGGCUGAGCGAUGUUCGGCUGAGGUGGGUUCCGAGCCUCCUUCUUCCUGGUCACUCUCCGUUUCUACCCUUCUCCUUCCUUCAAGCUCUCUCGCCAAAGGCCAUCUCAAAUCUCUCUCGGCCAAUUUCCUCUCUGUCUUCGUUCUCUCCUUUCCUUUCCCCCCCCCACCUUUUUUUUUACCAAGCUCCCUCUUCUCUCUAUAAAUCUGCCGUAGGUUGCCCCCUUUUGGCAUCCCUCCAGAGCGGUUUUGGAUGGCCAACGAAGCCAGCUGCCUUUUCCUUCCAUCUCCAUCUCAAGACUGUCGUUAAUCAGCCUCCUCUCCCUGCCUGUGUAUGUGCCUGCAGCUAUUUCGGUUUUUGGGGGGCGAGUUAAUGGUAUUUUCGGCUAAGAUGGCAGCAAGCUCUUUUGGGUUUUGACAACCGCAGGCAUCGCCAUGCUGCAGCCGUGUGUCAUCGCUUCCCCUUCUUCUGCUCUAUCUCCUGCCUCUCCCUCUGUUCUAUUUCUUUCUUUUUUGCAGGUCUUCGAAGACCGACACAGAGGGAGGAAGACCCUCUCUCGCGGGCUGAAAGGGAAAAAGGGGGGUUGGGCUGGGCCCAAUGCAUGGAGAGAAAAGAAAAAAAGGGUGGGCUGUUGUUGUUUCCUUUUUUUUUUUUUUUUGACUUUUUGAUUGAUUGAUUUUUUAAAAAAAAUAGGUGUCAACAAUAUAUUAGGCUUCUGUUGCGUGCUUUCAACACUAUAAAUCAAUAUUACUCAAUAAUGUGACAUGUUAAUCUCUAAUUCUAUGGUUUUGGUCAUUCCUGGUUGUACCUUCAUUGGCUCACUCGCUGCCUUCGGGUGAGGUUUUAGUUCGAGGACAUGGCAUUGCUGGGUACCAUCUAUUAAAAGGAGAUUAAUAAAGAUGGACUUUCCAAGGACAUAAAACCUCGUUCUCCUAUGAGAAACCGAACGAGAAAAGACGACGAAUGGGGUUUAGAAAAGGCCGCAAAUGUUUUGCCAAUUUCAUGUUCUGCGAGUUAGGUCUUAUUUGUCAUAAAAGAGGUCAGGUCUCAUUUGGCCGGCUAUUAAAAGUUCGGUAGCACCAAAUGUCAAUAAUCCACGUCGACCACCUGACUCCAAAUCAUUUACUUUCUUCUUCCAGCUCAAUUGAAACGAAAUGCAUUUUGACUUAGGCGAGUUCUGACCCACAGGUUCUCCGAUGGCGCCGGCAAAAUUGUCGUUCGUUCUCUAAAAUUCACGUUUUGUUGUCUUUUCGUCCCCAUUUUCAACUUAACUUCUGAUUGGUCCUUGAAAAAUUAAUAUUAAUCAGGAGGCGACGGGAGGGAGACGUUGAAAUGAAGGCUCCCAAAAUAAUUUUUUUAUAUCCCGAGUUAGGAAUGGUAAGUGUACUGUGCUUCAGCUGGAGAAAGCGUCUUUUGGAUUUUUAUUUUCUUCUAAUGGUGAAAAGGAAUUUUAUUAUUAAAAAAAUCGAGGUGAUAAGGUACGACUUUUUUAGUAGGGGCGCGCGUGCGCUAAUGCUGAGGUGCCGCUGCCGACUUUGCUGUCAGAUGCCGACGGAAGAAGCCGCCCGCGCCGACGGUGGCGGUCUCAGACACGUGUUCUCCAGUGAGAUUUCGUGUCAGCACCACCUGCCGGUAUUUUUUUUUAUAUCGCCUUCCCGAUUAUUUUAAUUUGCGAUCGCUGAAAAAGCGAUUAAGAAAAAAAAGAGAAAAAAAUAUCAUUAUAAUCGCAGGCCAAAAGAAGAAAAUUAAUAAAUCGGGAUGUAUUCGUGAAAAAAGUCUUGGGGACACGUCAGACAUCGUAUCUACUUCCGAACUGAUCGGUAUGAAUUUUGACCCAAUUAAUAACGUCAUCCAUAAAUAAUGUUCGUAUUUUUAGCACAUAUUCAAUUACGUCAAUGUUAUAAUUUUCAUAAUUAUUUUGUUUUGUCAUAAAAUUAUAUAACUUCAAAAAUGGGAAAAUUUUUAAAUAAAAGCUUAAAAUAGAUGAAUUUUCUUCAAAGAGGAUUAAGAAUUGUCUCAAAUAAGAACCCAAGAUGCAAAUUAAUCGUAAAUAAAGCCUAACUUCGUCGGCAGGAAGCAUAUGUUUAAUCCGAUGGCACAAUAGGGGCAUAAUCGUCCAAAGACAUUUCUCUUUUAUCCCUUUUUUAUCCUUUCACUUUUUUCCUCUUCUUCCUCCUUUACCCACGUUGGUGUCCUGGCCGUCUUCCAUGGCCGUCGGCUGCGUUCAAGCGUCUUCUUGCCCGGCUCUUCAGAUCUGUCCGACUGGCCGUCCAUGGCCACCGGCGCCGAACAAGCCGUCAUCGCUCGUGGCCGUCUUCCAUGGCCGUUGGCCCACGUUUUUAUCCAGAUUUGGUCGUCUUCCACGGCCAUCGACCUGCGUUCAGGCGUCUCGCCCGGGUCUUCUGAUCUGACCGUCCAUAGCCAUCGGCGCCGAACUAGCCCAUCCUCGUCGCCUUGAGCCGAACAAGUCGUCGUCGUCGCCGCUUCGGCCUCUUCUGCUUCUGCUGCUUCCGGCCGACGUGCAGGGGCGGCGCCGCCGGCUCAAACUUCUUAUUCUUGUCAUCGGAGCCAUGCUGCUUGCGGUCGCGGGACUGGCACUUGAGGUUUUUCUGUCGGGAUCAGAGGUGAUUUUAUCAGAACCUUCCUUAAGGAACAAGUUCGAUAUACGCUUUUGAGUGUCAGGGAGAGAGGACCGCUCGUUCGCCGGCGGCGGCCAUGGAAUGUGGGCCGACGUGGGUGAAGGAGGAAGACUGACCCACAGUCUCAUUGAUCUUCUGAUAAUGAUGAUGUGUUUGUUUAGCUCUCACUGAUCGGAGAGAUGGUGAUCGUGUCAUGUGUUUAGCUCCUUCACCCACGGUUUGUAUCCAUCACCAUCACCAUGCAUUCCCGCAACUUCACUCCAACGAAGAAGAUGAAUAGUGAAAAGAUAGGAAAACAAAAUGGAAAAAAAAAACAAAAGAAGAAGAAAUGUCUUUGGACAAAAAUGGCCCUCUCUCCCACCGGUGAGCUCAGACCCCUUUUUUAAAACCAAUUUCAGAUCUUUAUAUGAGGUUAGAUGACUAUUUCAGACUCUUAAAUCAGUCAGACAAUAUCAAUUCUGAAUUCUCUGACGAGAAAAUGCAUCCACGUCAGAACAUUAUUUAGAAUUUUUCCGUAAUAUUGAAAAUAGUUGCAUUUGAGUCAUUCGAAGAGUUCUGUUUUGGGACAAGGUCGAGUAGGCCAAAAGAGAUGGAAACGAAUCCCGAGAUAUAUUUCGCUGGUAAUUGGGCAGAAACCACAUGGGCUGUCCGAGGGAAACUGGAGGUUGGAACUAAUGUCGAUGGAUCCCCUGUUGUACACGACCAGAAAAAUCCCAAGAAAGCCCGUCCAAAUGCGAAACCAGAAAGAGAGAGAUCAGAACAAACUCGCCCAGGAAGGUUACUACAUUAUAAAUCGCAGAUAAUAUCUCACCUUUCCGGCGAGGCUCUUCCAAGAAAUUACGCCUCAGUAGAGGGAGAGAUGACUAUCUUUUGAUCUCUUUCUUUUUCAUUGGUGUCAUAAUUAUAAAUGGGGAAGAGAAUCGUUUGGUGGAAGUGACAGCAAUUUUACGAAACCUCUCUCUCUCUCUCUCUCUCUCUCUCUCUCUCUCUCUCUCUCUCUCUCUCUCUCUCUCUCUCUGGUUGCUGGCAAGUGUUUGAAGGUAAAUAACAUAAAUUGGUCUAUGAAUUUUGAACAGGUUUGUAAUAGGGGUGUGCAUUGGACCCGGGAACCGCCCGGACCGCCCGGAACCGGACCGGAACCGCCCAGAACCGGCGGUUCUUGAGGGAACCGGUCCGGUUCCCGGGUCCAAUUGUUGAGAACCGGUGGGAACCGGUCCGGUUCCCGGUUCCGUGGGCGGACCCACCCACCCGGACCGGACCGGUACUAUUUAUAAUUAAAAAAAAAAAAACAAAACAAAAGUGGCGAAGCCCCCCUGCCCCUAAUCGCGAAGCCCUAAUUCGCGUUUCUUCUUCUUCAGCCUUCAAUUCUCUCUGUUCCUUUCCUUCUCUUCGUCUUCGAUUCCACGGUUCCACCCCGAGUAUCCACACCGCCGCCGCUACUCCUCCUCCGCCACUGUCCGCCCCCUCGCGCCGGUCACCACUCGCCACAACCGCUGCUCCUCCGCCUCUGCAAGAACUCUCGACCGAGCCGGCGAGCCCCUUUUCCGUCACUCAACAAGGUACGAAGCCCUAAUUCGCGUCUCAUCUCUUGAUUCUCUUCCAAUUUCUUCCUCAGUCUUUGAUUAUCUCUCUGUUUCUUCCUCAAUCUCUUCUCCUCGUCUUCGAUUCCUCACCAAGCAUCCACGCCGCCGCCGCUGCUCCUCCUCCGCCACUGUUCGCCCCCUCGCGUCGGUCGCCACUCGCCACAACCGCUGCUCCUCCGCCGUUGCUGUCCGGCCCCUCGCGCCAGUCGCCUCCCACCACAACCGCUGCUCUUCCGCCUCUGCAAGAACUCUCGACCGAGCCGCUUUUCCGUCACUCAACAAGGUACGAAGCCCUAAUUCGCGUCUCAUCUCUUCCGAUUUCUUCCUCAGUCUUUGAUUCUCUGUUUCUUCCUCAAUCUCUUGUCUUCGUCUUCGAUUCCUCCCCAAGCAUCCACACCGCCGCCGCUGCUCCUCCUUCGCCACUGUCCGCCCCCUCGCGCCGGUCGCCACUCGCCACAACCGCUGCUCCUCCGCCUCUACUGUCCGCCCCCCUCGCCGACGCUCAGUCCCUUCGUCUUUGAUUCCUCCCUGAGCCUUGACGCCGCCGCUGUUGCUCCUUUGCCACUGCUGUCCGCCCCUUCGCAUUUGUGCAUCAAAAUUUUUGGCGUCAAAAUCGGUUCCAUGGAUCCACCCGGGAACCGGACCGGCGGUCCGGUUCCCGGGUGGAUCCAUGCAAUAAACGGGUGGAUCUCGGUUCCGAUUUUUCGGAACCGGUCCUUAGCGGGCGGUUCCCAGUUCUAGGUCGGGAACCGCCCGCCCGGACCAUGCACACCCCUAGUUUGUAAUGUCAUUUUUAAAUUUUUAAUGUAAUAUGGUUUCCAAAUUUUAGAUACAUAUUCAAUUUAGUCAUAAAAUUGUUAGGAGUGUGCAUCCAGAUUGGUUCAAUCUAGAAACAAAACUGGACCGCUUGAAAAAUAGGUCUAGGAAUAUGUUCUUAUUAAACUUAGUCCGAGAAUAGCUUUUGAGUAAACACUCACCGAGAAAUUGGAUUGGAUCACCUUAUUUUGAAAUCGGUUUUAUGAGUUAAAAAGUCAAAAUCCUAAUUUCUUUUUUCCCUAAAUUUUGACCUCAGUACUCCUUUGUUCUUUAUUCUUUCUCGAAACUCUUUGCUAGUUUUUUGUCUUCAGCUAAAUUUUUGUAGAUUAAUGGGGGAUGAAAUUUUAUAACUUAUGUUUUAUGUUAUGUGUUUAAACCUUUAUCGUUUAUAAUAGUACAAGUCUAGGAAUCUUAUGGAUUGCUGUUUUUGGCGUAUUUUGUUGUCCACCUUUUCCUUUGAAUCAUUUCGGUACUUGUAGUCUCAUAUAAUUUUUGCUGUAAAAAAAUGAACCAAAAAAAGGUGCAAAAAGAUAAAACGGGUUUUUUGAGUAUAUUUUGAAAUUGGACCAGAAAAAAAAAUGUUCAAGAAUCGGCUUCACAGUCAAAAUUGGGAAUAAGAUAUAAUAGGGUAGAUUUUAGGUUUUAACUCUGAAUUUUACUACUUUGAAAGCGAUCGCUCCUAAAAAUUAUAAAAUAUAACAAGAAAAAUAAAUGGGCUCAAAAAUGUUGAAAAAAAUUAGUUACAUUUCCAUCGUCGGGAGGAUUCUAUUUUGGGACAAGAUCGAAUAGGCCAAAAAGGUAGGGACGAAUCCCGAGAUAUUUAUCGCCUGUAAUAAUCGGGCAGAACCCACAUGGACCGGCCGACGAAAAACUGGAGGUUGGAACUCCGUCGGUGGAACUACGUCGGCGGAUGGCAUGUUGAACACGACCGAAAAUCCCAAGAAUGCUCCGUCCAAUCCAAACGUGAAACCGGAGAGAGAAAAAGAUCAGGACAUGGACAAACCCGACCAAGAAGCUCUCCCGCACUGGAGAGAAAGAGAAGAUCAUCUUUUAAUCUCUUUCUUUUUCAUUGGUGAUCUAAAAGUAUAAAUAGGGGAGGAGAAUCGUUUGGUGGAAGUGACAGCAAUUUUACGGAACCACUCCCUCUCUCUCUCUCUCUCUCUCUCUCUCUCUCUCUCUCUCCCCCCCUUCUUUGUGAGGAGGUUGCUGGCGAGUGGUUGCUGCUGACACCUUUUUUUCUUGGUGGGCAUUGAGGGGCGGGAGGUCUUCGAUCCUAGAACGCAUCAAUGGCUUCCUCCUCCUCGCUCCUCAGAGCCCUCUUUCUUCUACUUUCUCUCUCAGGUUCGUCCUCUCUCUCUCUCUCUCUCUCUCUUCCUUCCAGCCAGUCUUUGUCACUACCCUUUUAGCUUCUCCUGGGCAGCUGCCAGUCCUGGUGGGAAAGAUCUCUUUUCUUCUUUUUUUAGGAGAAUUGCGAGCCUCUUGUCUUCUAGAAAGCGCAAAAGACCCGAUCAAUGACGGUCGCAUGUUGCUUUCUUCAUUGGGCUUUACUAGAUUUUCUUCCGUUCCUCUCUCUCUCUCUUCUGGGGGAUAUGGCCGGAGCAAGAAUAGGAAAAUGAUACUUGUUGUUGGGAGUUCGCUAAUUUUAUUACCCUUUUUCUUUUCCAUGCUUUCCGGGCUUUGAGGGAAAAGUUUAGAUGGAUUCGUUUCACUUCAUAUUAGUCGUAGGCUUUUUUCCUUUGGUAGUGCCAAAUUUGGUGAGAGUGAGACGAGAUUGUCGUUAACAAUUCCCACAUGCUAAUGUGAUGUGACGAAAGUCUGCAUCUUGCAAGGGAAGUUACUCCAGUUACAAAUAUGGAUGUGUGGACAUUCUGGUUUAACGGUUUCAAUUAAUUUUCUGGUGUUCUCUGUCUCUCCAAUUUUACGUGUUUCUGGUCCUGAUUCUGUUUCUUCCUCUGCGUUUUAGAUUCUGCGACUCGAAUUCUAGGCCUCGAGUUCGGGAUUAAUUAUGGCCAAAUAGCGGACGACCUGCCCUCGCCUUCUCGUGUUGCCACCCUCCUUGGAUCCCUCAACGUCAGUAGGGUAAAGUUGUAUGAUGCAGAUCCCAAUGUCCUCCAAGCAUUUUCCA
rnacentral:lncRNA from 1 species